CUGAAGAAACUAGGGUUUUGAGACUACGUAUAAAGCGUGUGCUCGGCCCUUACUCUUUAAUCCACACACCUCUGUGCACUAUGGGACGCAAGUCCCCUUUUAUGUUUAAAAAACCAAGUAUAUGCAUGUUUUUGACACUCUACGGAGUAAUAAUA
rnacentral:misc_RNA from 1 species